rnacentral:snRNA from 1 species
UUCUCUUUGGAGACAUAUGAUAACAGUGCAAUGAUGCACAGAAGAUCACCUGCUCCUGUGCAAGGAUGACACGCGCAAAUCGAGAAAUAGACCAAUUUUUA